UACGUAGGGUGCGAGCGUUGUCCGGAAUUAUUGGGCGUAAAGGGCUCGUAGGCGGUUUGUCGCGUCGGGAGUGAAAACUCAGGGCUUAACCCUGAGCCUGCUCCCGAUACGGGCAGACUAGAGGUAUGUAGGGGAGAACGGAAUUCCUGGUGUAGCGGUGAAAUGCGCAGAUAUCAGGAGGAACACCGGUGGCGAAGGCGGUUCUCUGGGCAUUACCUGACGCUGAGGAGCGAAAGUGUGGGGAGCGAACAGG
rnacentral:rRNA from 1 species